UACGUAGGGGGCAAGCGUUAUCCGGAUUUACUGGGUGUAAAGGGAGCGUAGACGGCCAGACAAGUCUGAAGUGAAAAUCCAGCGCUUAACGUUGGAAGUGCUUUGGAAACUGCCGGGCUAGAGUGCAGGAGGGGCAGGCGGAAUUCCUAGUGUAGCGGUGAAAUGCGUAGAUAUUAGGAGGAACACCGGUGGCGAAGGCGGCCUGCUGGACUGCAACUGACGUUGAGGCCCGAAAGCGUGGGGAGCAAACAGG
rnacentral:rRNA from 1 species